rnacentral:rRNA from 1 species
UACAGAGGGGGCAAGCGUUGUUCGGAAUUACUGGGCGUAAAGGGCGCGUAGGCGGCCUGCUAAGUCGAACGUGAAAUCCCCGGGCUCAACCCGGGAACUGCGUCCGAUACUGGUUGGCUUGAAUCCGGGAGAGGGAUGCGGAAUUCCAGGUGUAGCGGUGAAAUGCGUAGAUAUCUGGAGGAACACCGGUGGCGAAGGCGGCAUCCUGGACCGGCAUUGACGCUGAGGCACGAAGGCCAGGGGAGCAAACGGG